rnacentral:rRNA from 1 species
UCCGAACUCGGCCGUGAAACGCCUCAGCGCCGAUGGUACUGCGUCUUAAGACGUGGGAGAGUAGGUCGCCGCCAGGU